GGGGCAGCGGGGGAGUGGCAACACUUCCGCCCGUGAACAGGCGCACGGGUGAGUAACACGUAUGAAACCUGCCCGCAGCAGGGGGAUAAGCGGAAGAAAUUCCGUCUUCCACAACGUAACAACCGACGGGGGCAUCCCUGUUGGUUCAAAGGAGCGAUCCGGCUGCGGAUGGUCAUGCGGCGCAUUAGCUAGUUGGCGGGGCAACGGCCCACCAAGGCGACGAUGCGUAGGGGUUCUGAGAGGAAGGUCCCCCACACUGGUACUGAGACACGGACCAGACUCCUACGGGAGGCAGCAGUGAGGAAUAUUGGUCAAUGGCCGAGAGGCUGAACCUUCUUUGUCGCGUGAGGGAUGACGGCCCUACGGGUUGUAAACCUCUUUUGCCGGGGAGUUUAUAGCGGGACGCGUCCCGCCUCGAGAGUACCCGGAGAAAAAGCAUCGGCUAAACUCCGUGCCAGCAGCCGCGGUAAUACGGAGGAUGCGAGCGUUAUCCGGAUUUAUUGGGUUUUUUGGGUGCGCUGGCGGUUGCGCUNGUCUGCGGUGUUUUGNGGUGGCUCGGCCUCUUCCCGCCGUUGCCCUUGCGUUUCUUGNGUGGGCGCGUNGUCCGCGGCCUGCGUGGUGUNGCGGUGNNNUGCNUNGUUCUCUCGAAGGNCUCCNNUCNCNNNNNCNNCNUCCCNNCCCCCNNCUNNCNCUCNUNCNCNNAAGCNUGGGGNUCCCUUUAAGGAAGAGACCNNGGNAGUCCACACAAAAAAAGGAGGCGCUAUAAUUCGAAAUGGCGGGGAGAUUGGUCUCUGGGCGGCCAAGCGAAAGCGUUAAGUAUUCCACCUGGGGAGUACGCCGGCAACGGUGAAACUCAAAGGAAUUGACGGGGGCCCGCACAAGCGGAGGAACAUGUGGUUUAAUUCGAUGAUACGCGAGGAACCUUACCCGGGCUCAAACGACGGAUGAAUACUUUUGAAAGGAGGUAGUCCUUCGGGACAUCCGUCGAGGUGCUGCAUGGUUGUCGUCAGCUCGUGCCGUGAGGUGUCGGCUUAAGUGCCAUAACGAGCGCAACCCCCAUCGCCAGUUGCCAACAGGUAAAGCUGGGAACUCUGGCGAGACUGCCGGCGCAAGCUGUGAGGAAGGCGGGGAUGACGUCAAAUCAGCACGGCCCUUACGUCCGGGGCGACACACGUGUUACAAUGGCAGGUACAGAGAGAUGCGACACGGCGACGUGGAGCGGAACUGUCAAAACCUGUCUCAGUUCGGAUCGGAGUCUGCAACCCGACUCCGUGAAGCUGGAUUCGCUAGUAAUC
rnacentral:rRNA from 1 species